GGCAAGUUAUUAAGGGCAUACGGUGGAUGCCUUGGCAGGAUCCCUU
rnacentral:rRNA from 3 species